rnacentral:tRNA from 1 species
GCCCGCGUAGCUCAGUCGGUAGAGCACCAGUCUUUUAAUCUGAGGGUCUAGGAUUCGAGCCCCUACGUGGGCU